UUGUGAGCUCGAUGAGUAGGGCGGGACACGUGGUAUCCUGUCUGAAUAUGGGGGGACCAUCCUCCAAGGCUAAAUACUCCUGACUGACCGAUAGUGAACCAGUACCGUGAGGGAAAGGCGAAAAGAACCCCGGCGAGGGGAGUGAAAAAGAACCUGAAACCGUGUACGUACAAGCAGUGGGAGCACGCUUAGGCGUGUGACUGCGUACCUUUUGUAUAAUGGGUCAGCGACUUAUAUUCUGUAGCAAGGUUAACCGAAUAGGGGAGCCGAAGGGAAACCGAGUCUUAACUGGGCGUUAAGUUGCAGGGUAUAGACCCGAAACCCGGUGAUCUAGCCAUGGGCAGGUUGAAGGUUGGGUAACACUAACUGGAGGACCGAACCGACUAAUGUUGAAAAAUUAGCGGAUGACUUGUGGCUGGGGGUGAAAGGCCAAUCAAACCGGGAGAUAGCUGGUUCUCCCCGAAAGCUAUUUAGGUAGCGCCUCGUGAAUUCAUCUCCGGGGGUAGAGCACUGUUUCGGCAAGGGGGUCAUCCCGACUUACCAACCCGAUGCAAACUGCGAAUACCGGAGAAUGUUAUCACGGGAGACACACGGCGGGUGCUAACGUCCGUCGUGAAGAGGGAAACAACCCAGACCGCCAGCUAAGGUCCCAAAGUCAUGGUUAAGUGGGAAACGAUGUGGGAAGGCCCAGACAGCCAGGAUGUUGGCUUAGAAGCAGCCAUCAUUUAAAGAAAGCGUAAUAGCUCACUGGUCGAGUCGGCCUGCGCGGAAGAUGUAACGGGGCUAAACCAUG
rnacentral:rRNA from 1 species